GGAUGCAAAUAUUUUGGUUCUUACACUUGUCGAUUUUAGAGCUCCAUAUAUAAUAAUUACUUGGAACUAUUCCUUAAAAAAAAACACUCUCUCUCGCCAGCGCCUCCCCAACCUAGCCAUCACUCCCGCUGGGGUGAGUAGCUCCAGUCACGCGCGUCGGCUGCCUACCCUCGCUCCCGAUGAGAGGAUCCCACCUUCCUCCUCACCGGUGACUAUCCUUCCUCCUCCACUGCCGUGUCGAUGGCUUUUGCCUAGGGACCAUUUUCGCUCCCCCCCCCCCAAAUACCCUUUUAUCUCUAGCGGUGUCCCCUCCUCUCCCUUAUGGUGGCGGCUUCUUCAUCUUUGAUUGGUCCUCCUCUCUCCGAGUUUUUCCUCCAGACCUUCACAAUUGGUCCUUUCCGCCAGAUCGCUACUCCUUCCAUAUUUGAUCUUGAUCUAAGCAGGGUUAGAUCCGACCCGGUUUUUAGAUCGGGUCUGGUCGCAGUGUAUUGAAUCCAUCCUAUUCGGGUGCCUUCCCCGGCUUACCGGAUUAGUCAGCUCUUGAUUCGUCACUGGCUGGAUUAGUUGGCUCCUUGGCACCCUCCCCAGCUUCGCUGUUAGUCGACGCCUGUUGCCUUGCCCGGCCUGGAUUAUUGGUCUGAUUUGGUGGCUGACUCUGUGAUGGGUCCCUAGUGCACGAAUACCGCUCAAGACCCCCCUGCGUUGCUCUGAUGUUAGGGUCUCCUCGAAACAUAGGCUUCAUAUGGCCGAGUUCUACAUGGAUAUAUGGCUUGAGGACCCUUACUUGGUUUAUCGGGGUCCAUGUGUGACACAUAAGAUUUUUAUCGGAAUUUUCGGAUAGCUGCUACUUUAUAUUUCACCUCAAAUCUCCCGUGUAGUAUGCCUGGGAGGAUCCGAUUAUUUCUGAUAUUGUAAUUUUCAUUUUCUUGAGCAUUUCACUUUGUGUACUCUUAGUAUAUGUUAUAAAUGAAUUCUCAAGGUUCAUGAGAAAAAAAAUAAAUAUAGUGAAGUUAGUUUUACAAUC